rnacentral:rRNA from 1 species
CCUAUGGGCGGCAGCAGUGGGGAAUAUUGCACAAUGGGCGCAAGCCUGAUGCAGCCAUGCCGCGUGUGUGAAGAAGGCCUUCGGGUUGUAAAGCACUUUCAGCGGGGAGGAAGGCGGUGAGGUUAAUAACCUCAUCGAUUGACGUUACCCGCAGAAGAAGCACCGGCUAACUCCGUGCCAGCAGCCGCGGUAAUACGGAGGGUGCAAGCGUUAAUCGGAAUUACUGGGCGUAAAGCGCACGCAGGCGGUCUGUCAAGUCGGAUGUGAAAUCCCCGGGCUCAACCUGGGAACUGCAUUUCGAAACUGGCAGGCUAGAGUCUUGUAGAGGGGGGUAGAAUUCCAGGUGUAGCGGUGAAAUGCGUAGAGAUCUGGAGGAAUACCGGUGGCGAAGGCGGCCCCCUGGACAAAGACUGACGCUCAGGUGCGAAAGCGUGGGGAGCAAACAGGAUUAGAUACCCCAGUAGUC